GACGAACGCUGGCGGCGUGCCUAACACAUGCAAGUCGAACGGAGAGGACAUGAAGUAUUUCGGUACGGAAUGCUCUCUUAGUGGCGAACGGGUGAGUAACACGUGGGCAACCUGCCCCAGACUGGGGGAUAACAUUGUGAAAACAGUGCUAAUACCGCAUGACAGGGUUCCGGGCAUCCGGGACCCUUGAAAGGAGAAAUCCGGUCAGGGAUGGGCCCGCGUCCAAUUAGCUAGUUGGCGGGGUAACGGCCCACCAAGGCGACGAUUGGUAGCCGAACUGAGAGGUUGAUCGGCCACAUUGGGACUGAGACACGGCCCAGACUCCUACGGGAGGCAGCAGUGGGGAAUAUUGGGUCAAUGGGCGAAAGCCUGACCCAGCGACGCCGCGUGAAGGAUGAAGGUCUUCGGACUGUAAACUUCUUUGAUCAGGAGAAGAAUGACGGUACCUGAAAACAAGCCACGGCUAACUACGUGCCAGCAGCCGCGUAAUCUAGUCUACG
rnacentral:rRNA from 1 species